GCAGUUGCUGUGGUUUCCGUGUUGAGGUGGCUUAGUUUUUAUGGGAGCGGAAGUUCACGGACGCUGCGUCGCGUGUCCAAGUCCAGCUGUCUGUGGCUACCGAUCGAGAGGUCAGGAGCGCAGCGUCCUUUCUUCGGACUAGGGCCAGCCCCCUGUUUUCCCUUCGCCACUUGGUGCCAAUAUUUAGGUCGUCUUCGGCGCGGCUGAGGGGAAGGCCGCGGGCGAGAUGUUCAAGAACACGUUCCAGAGCGGCUUCCUUUCUAUCCUCUACAGCAUUGGCAGCAAGCCCCUGCAAAUCUGGGACAAAAAGGUACGGAAUGGCCACAUCAAAAGAAUCACCGAUAAUGACAUCCAGUCCCUGGUGCUAGAGAUUGAAGGAACAAAUGUCAGCACCACAUAUAUCACAUGUCCUGCAGACCCAAAGAAAACAUUGGGAAUUAAACUUCCCUUCCUUGUCAUGAUUAUCAAAAACCUGAAGAAAUAUUUUACCUUUGAAGUACAGGUACUAGAUGACAAGAAUGUGCGUCGGCGGUUUCGGGCAAGUAACUACCAGAGCACCACCAGGGUCAAACCCUUCAUCUGUACCAUGCCCAUGCGGCUGGAUGACGGCUGGAACCAGAUUCAGUUCAACCUGUCAGACUUCACUCGGCGGGCAUAUGGCACAAAUUACAUUGAGACCCUCAGGGUGCAGAUCCAUGCAAACUGUCGCAUCCGACGGGUUUACUUCUCAGACAGACUCUACUCAGAAGACGAACUGCCAGCAGAGUUCAAACUGUAUCUCCCAGUUCAGAAUAAGGCAAAGCAAUAACUGGAAUGCCACUCAAGGGAUAGACCCUGGAUGUGACUCUUAGUUUAAAAAGGAAACUAUCUGGAGGACAAUGCAAAAAACAAAUAUUUAUAUUAGUUCACUGUGCUGCGGUUCUUUUACCUACUCCUUGGCGUCCCUGGUUGUGGCUACCAGUGACCGUGCCGUGCAUUGAUGAGGCUGGAAUUGUGGGCACUGGCUGUUUUGACUUUGACUAGAGGUAAAAACACAGUGCUGAAUUCGUCAUUACUGUUGCUGCCUCCUGAGAAGUUAAGUGACAAGGAGCACUGUUCUCCCGCAUCCUUAUCCUCCAGAGUGUGCUCUGGUCAUCAGGACCUGGCACUUAGGUGGGUUCAGUCAAGACGACUUUGCCUUCCUCUUCCUGCUAACAGCUGCACUGGAGCCGCCUUCGCCGUGGAUGCUGCCCCUCUCCUUGGAGAGUCACCAUCGUUCAGCAUCGCAGAGCACCCAUCAGCCCAGGUGACAGCCUGUUCUCUCAGGGCCAACUCCAGUCACAUCUGAAUAUUGGCCCGCUUCUCCAUCCUGAAACACGUUAGCAUUCCUGUUGUUAGACUCCGUGUGUCUGUCUCCCAAGCUUUCUGGGUUACAGAGGGGUCCUCAGAAAUGGGUGGGGCUGGGUGGUCAGGGACUUCAACAGAGCUUCUUGUCUCUGGCCACUGUGUGGUGAAAUCUUCCCUCCAAUCUGGAGUCUGUUGUGGGAUGAAAGAUGCUUUUGUGGAGGCGAGAAAGCCCGGUUAACUUUUCAUCUCUCUCCGGUGCCAGGACAUCAGUGGAGUGCUCCUGGAAGUCCAGAGAAAUACAGUAAUGCACUCUCCUCCACACAGAGCCCCUUUCACCCCGCGGCACUUGUCAGACUAUGUAUGGGGAUUACCUCACCACCCUCUUUGGGGUAUAAGGCGGCAGCUGUUGACUUCCCAGAUGCUUCACAUAUCCAUCCGAGAGGAAGUGAGGGGGCGUUGAGGGUGAUGGGAUGUAUUAUCUAAGCUGGACCCAGGCCAAUGUGAAUUGUGGCACCAACGACUGCAUGGCCCCUGCCCUCAGCUUUCCAGCUCACCAGGAAGAUGACGACGACUAAUUAUGAGGCCAAGGGAAGGAGGAAGGAAAGGUCAGGCUGCAGGGGCUGGAGCCCUCCUCCUUCAUGGGGCUGGAGCCAGAGUGACCUUAGACUGAGGAAAUUGCAGCAGGCAGAGUUGCGUUACCCGGCUCCUCUGAAGUCACGGUGUGUUGCAGGAGGCGUUGUCUUCCAAAUGAGAGUGUUCGUUAAUUGGCAUGAACUUGAGGGGACAGGCAUGCAGUCAUUCUCAGUAGGGCCCAUCUUGGGGGAGAGCAGAUCCACUGUGGCCCUUAUUUGCUACCAGCACGUUGAUUGCUUUGCCUGCAACCAAGCCAAUAAUACUGAUCGUGCCAGUCCAGCCCCCUCCCGGGGCAUUUCUUAAGGAGGCAAGUAUGCCAGAGAACAACCCCCAAGCUGAUUUCCCUAGAUCCUUGGCAGCUUUAGCCAAAAGCCUCAAGUGUCAGGAGCCCUUCUUGUCUGAGCCCUCCCUUCUUCCAUUUUACUGAUGAGGACACUAUAGCCCAGAGAGGCUCGGGCCGGCUCCUGUCAGAGUGGCAGGAGUAGAACACAGGUGAGGAUCACCUGAUGGGAGUCAUAUGCCAUCCCUGUCCUCCCUUGUGCUGACGUCUCCCUGCUUCCUAUGUGGUGGCUGUAUCCUUUUUGUAGAGGCAUUGACGGGUCAGAUAAUGUCUGCCUGGAGGCUGGGCCAGGCCAGACUUGGCUGCUCAGGAGGACUAGACUCAGCUCUGCCUCUGCAGCGAGGGCUUGCCUGGUUUGUCCCGUCGUGGUUGCACAUUAGCUGAACUUCAGGGCCUGAGGCUGAAGAUAGAAAGCUGUGGGGCGAAGAUUUGUGUUUAACUAAUGUAUCAUAAAAGUAACAUAGGCUCAUGGGAAAUUCAAACUGUUCCCAUUCCUGAACUGAAAGUAUUUGAAUGGGCCAGGCCAAGUUUGUUUUGUUUUUUAAUUUAUUUUUAUAUAGCAGGUUCUUGUUAGUCAUCCAUUUUAUACACAUCAGUGUAUACAUGUCAA